rnacentral:rRNA from 1 species
UACAGAGGGUGCAAGCGUUGCUCGGAAUCAUUGGGCGUAAAGGGCAGGUAGGUGGUCUCAUUUGUCAGGGGUGAAAGCCUUGGGCUUAACCCAAGAAGUGCCUCUGAAACGGUGGGACUAGAGUACUGGAGAGGGUCGUAGAAUUCCUGGUGUAGCGGUGAAAUGCGUAGAGAUCAGGAGGAAUACCAGAGGCGAAGGCGGCGACCUGGACAGUGACUGACACUCAACUGCGAAAGCGUGGGGAGCAAACAGGAUUAGAUACCCUGGUGGUCCACGCCGUAAACGAUGGGUACUAGGCUUGGUGGGUCUUGACCCCUGCCGAGCCGGAGCUAACGCAAUAAGUACCCCGCCUGGGAAGUACGGUCGCAAGACUAAA